rnacentral:pre_miRNA from 1 species
GGACUAUUUCUUGAUAAAAUCUAAGGGUGAUUAUUCUGCCAUGUCAUUCUUGAAAUUUUUUUUGAAAAAAUCUUUCUUAAUAUAUAGCAUUGCUCUAUUUAUUAACAAGUGUUUUUUUUUUUUUUGACAAAUUUAUCAACAAGUAUUUUAGAAAGAAAAAAAGAACAUUUUGUAUUGAAUUUUUUAUUUUAGACUUUUUAAAACGUUGACUAAAUAUCUUAGAAUAGCGAUAAUUAAUAAAGAGCAAUGCUAUAUAUCAAGAAAGAUUUUUUCAAAAAAAUUUCAAGAAUGACAUGGCAGAAUAAUCACCCUUAGAUUUUAUCAAGAAAUAGUCCU